GGCGGGCUGCGACGGGCGGCACCUGCGGACCGCGUCUGGCACCGCCCUCGGUAACGCCGGCGCCCAACCGGCCCGUCCCGGUCAGAGCGUCCGCCCGGAUGGGCUGGUCCCGGCGCUGCCGGCAGGGAGGGCGGGGAACAGAGCCCCCCGGGGAGGGCUGGCCCCCGCGCUCUCCCCCCUUUAUAGACGAAGCUCGGUGCCGUUUCCCUGCCCUGGGCCCCGGCCCGGGGGUGUAGAGGUGAUUUCCCCUCCGGUACUGCCGAGCUCUCGGGGGGCUGUGGCCCCCCUUUCAGAGCCCUCUCCAGGGUGCGCAGCGCGAUGCUCGGCUGGAACGGCCGCUCCUGGCACCGUGCAGGGCGAGCAGCAGCUGCUAAUCUUGUGGAGCGUGAAAGGCACAUUGAUGAAGAGGCUCCAGAAUGACAGGCUCACUCCCGAUGGUCAGAAAGCUCAUCUGGUACAGUGUCCUAUAAAUACCCACAAACACUAAUGCAGCCACAGGAUCAGCUAAGACAAUUGUUUUCUUCAGCUCUUCAAAAUAUGCUGAAAAUGGAAACUUUUCUAAUUGCCACAUUGGCAAAGAGCUACCAUUUUCUUGAUGAGUUCCAGGGAAUUUAUGUUUCUCCUUGGACAUUCUUCCAAGACGAUCCAUAAGCUUAGCAGAGACAUGAGGUAGCCCCACAGUUGUUGCACCUCACAGUUUGCAUUAUGGCAAAAGAUAACACCAGACUAAAAGAGGCAUCCCUGGGUGCUGAGGAACAGGCAACUCCCUGAGGCAGGUCCCACCACCAGGGUGAUGCCUUGGUGAGGUGUGCAGGACCAGCCCACACCAAGUUCCUCCCCAGUGCUCCACUCAGGGUGGCAGGUGCCAGAGCCCCUCUGGACAGACCUGCCUUGCUGCCUCUUCUCCAGCAAGAAAUGGGCACCUGGCUUAGCCAAGGAGCCAGCUCACCUCCAGCCAUGCAGCUCUCCUGCCCCGGGGAUGUCAGGCCAGCAUACACAGGGGGCUUGAGCUUCCAUGUGGGUAUCCAAGCAAGACUAAGCAACAAAAAGGAGAUAAAAGAAAUGGUGGGGCCAGCUGACACACAUCCUCAGUGUGGUACCAAAUACAGCAAUGCCAAAGAGCUGUUGGGCUCAUUUUGCAGCACCCUGUGUUCGUAGCUGACACCACACAGGACCCCAGGCUGCUCCCCACACACACACAGCAGCUGCUGCCACAAACAGCCUUCCCAUUCUUGCCAGGGAGAUGGGCACAACCGUUCAUUCUGGUCACAGCCCUCACUUCAGUAUUCACUGGCACCUUUGGAACAGGGAACUGUGAGGACUUCACAAGGAUCACAUCACCUUGGGAUCAUCCUCAAACAUAGUGAGCUGCCAAGUCAGCUCCAUGCACACACAGAAGUGUCCAUCUCUCUCUCGCCUCCAAAGCUCGAGCAGUUCCUUCUGUGCUUCUAUGGCUCAUCAGAGUAACGAGGUCCAUGCUGGAGAGACAAGGUUGCUCAGGGCACCGGCUCCUUCUCCCAGCCAGCACAGCCUGGGGAUGGAGGAACUGCCACUGCAGCAGUUGGGAACAGCUCUGCUGCCAGGACUAACACAACCACCCUGGCUCCAUAGCAGCAUGCACCCUGCUCUGUCACGAGUCUUUGGGAGCACUGUCUGGCUUCCUAGAUCCUUCCUGGUCUGCAAAGACUAUGCGAAUUUGUGCGGAUGAGGAUGAAUAAAGCAUUUUUAAGGGGUUACUGAAGCAGCAUAUGAACUCUGCUACGUCUAGCUAAUGAACCGUUCUCCUCCUCAAUAUGAGCUUUUUUUACCAGGAGACACAAAUCUCUAAUGAACUGAACCUCCUGCACCUGAAAUCAUACCUAAUGUUAACAGCACACACAGGUUACUACAGCAGUGUGAUCUGUGUAAUACCACAGAUGCUAUUUGAACAGGGAUUUUUCAUCCAGCAUGCCAGCAAAGCCCCAAAUAUUUUCAUUCAAUUUCUGUGCAAUAAAAUGAUAAGAAAGAAGCCAUUUGAAUUGAAGUGCUGCUGGUAUCUUUCAGGUUUCCAGCUCCCACUGUUUAAAACUCAAAUCGCUGUUAAGGCACAGAGGUACUGAACUGCACAGGAUUCUGUGCCUGGAUGAUGUGGGAUAAACUGGCUCGCUCUUACCUUUCCAGGGGCACAUGCACAGAUAAGCAGCGAGAGAGGAGAUGUACCGAGAGUUUGUGCAGUCUGAAUCAUGAAUAAUUUUUAUCAGCAUGCUGAUAAAAGCUGCCGCUAUGAUGGUGAUUGGUGUCUGAGUUACUUUCAUUAAGAGGGAGGUGAAAUACCAAGUUCUUUUAAAAAUCUUCAUUGUCAUUCCAUGGCAGAUGUGGAUCUGGCUUGGUUAAUUGGGUUAAUGAUUUGGCAUGCUGAGCUAUAUGCAGAAGUAAAACUGUAAAGAAUAUAUUCAAAUAUCCUGUUAUGGAUAUUCAACAAAUUACACAUCGCCAUUGUUAUGGCAAGCAGCACAAAGGAAAACAGUUCAGACAGGUUUAAUAGCCACAAUGACAGUGUUGGAACCCCAUUCCUUGUGAAUUGUUUCAAAAAAGUUACUCUGUGAUUUAGAAGCAAGGAAUGCCAAGUGUUUUCACAAAAAUACUCUCAUGAAUGUUAAGAGAGAUGCUUAAAAAAACUCACAUGAUAGAAAUGAAAUGCUUUUGCCCUUUCCUCUCUC